rnacentral:rRNA from 1 species
CCUUUGUACACACCGCCCGUCGCUACUACCGAUUGAAUGGCUCAGUGAGGCGUCCGGACUGGCCCAGAGAGGUGGGCAACUACCACUCAGAGCCGGAAACUUGGUCAAACUUGGUCAUUUAGAGG